UACGAAGGGGGCUAGCGUUGUUCGGAAUUACUGGGCGUAAAGCGCACGUAGGCGGAUAUUUAAGUCAGGGGUGAAAUCCCGGGGCUCAACCCCGGAACUGCCUUUGAUACUGGGUAUCUCGAGUCCGAGAGAGGUGAGUGGAAUUCCGAGUGUAGAGGUGAAAUUCGUAGAUAUUCGGAGGAACACCAGUGGCGAAGGCGGCCCACUGGCUCGGUACUGACGCUGAGGUGCGAAAGCGUGGGGAGCAAACAGG
rnacentral:rRNA from 1 species